GCGCACCAGGCGCGAAAGCGCGACGGGGCCACCCCGAGUGCCGCCCGCUGAGGGUGGUUUUCCCCGGUGUAGACAGCCGGGGGAAUAAGGAGAGGGCAAGUCUGGUGUCAGCCGCCGCGGUAAUACCAGCUCUCCGAGUGGUGGGGACGAUUAUUGGGCCUAAAGCGUCCGUAGCCGGCCCAGCAAGUCCUCCGUUAAAUACAGCGAUCCAAUCGCUGGACUGCGGGGGAUACUGCUGGGCUAGGGGGCGGGAGAGGCCGGCGGUAUUCCCGGGGUAGGGGUGAAAUCCUAUAAUCCCGGGAGGACCACCAGUGGCGAAGGCUGCCGGCUGGAACGCGCCCGACGGUGAGGGACGAAAGCCGGGGGAGCGAACCGGAUUAGAUACCCGCGUAGU
rnacentral:rRNA from 1 species